ACACAUUCUUGGGGCUUACAGGUUCAACCCUGAUGCUUAUCCUUCCCAGGAGAGCCCUGCCAUGGCCAGAAAAGACUGGCAUGGUUUUCAGGCUGGGUUCAUUUUUUCACAUCCCUUGACUAACACUUCACAUGGGAGAUUUCAUCUUGCCAGUUCUCUAACCCUUCAGGUGGGUCCCUGCCUUCUAUCUACAGUGUGAUCCUGUGUAAGUCCUCCCAUCCUCAUGGUCCCAUAAGUUUACAUUAAACACAGCCGUCAUAGAGUAGGAGCUGGGUUAUGCCAUCACACAAGGCCCUUUGCCACUAUUGUUAAGGACACCAUGUGUCAAGGCUUUCCACAUCAGAUUACAUCACACUACCCAGAGGUUCUGGGCAUGCAGUCCACGGAGAGUACAGGGGGUCUGAGCCCAGAGGGAGGGGAAAUUAUUGGAGAAACACCAAAGACCAUGGGAAACAGGCUCCUGAAACUGAUUCAGACUAUCUGAUCAUUUCUUUGCUAGCAGAACUUUACAAAUCUGUCUGGAUCACCCAGUCGUACCAG
rnacentral:lncRNA from 1 species